rnacentral:rRNA from 1 species
ACGAACGCUGGCGGCGUGCUUAACCCAUGCAAGUCGCACGGAAAGGCCCUGCUUUUGUGGGGUGCUCGAGUGGCGAACGGGUGAGUAACACGUGAGUAACCUGCCCUUGACUUUGGGAUAACUUCAGGAAACUGGGGCUAAUACCGGAUAGGAGCUCCUGCUGCAUGGUGGGGGUUGGAAAGUUUCGGCGGUUGGGGAUGGACUCGCGGCUUAUCAGCUUGUUGGUGGGGUAGUGGCUUACCAAGGCUUUGACGGGUAGCCGGCCUGAGAGGGUGACCGGCCACAUUGGGACUGAGAUACGGCCCAGACUCCUACGGGAGGCAGCAGUGGGGAAUAUUGCACAAUGGGCGGAAGCCUGAUGCAGCAACGCCGCGUGCGGGAUGACGGCCUUCGGGUUGUAAACCGCUUUCGCCUGUGACGAAGCGUGAGUGACGGUAAUGGGUAAAGAAGCACCGGCUAACUACG